rnacentral:misc_RNA from 1 species
GAGAGAGAGAGAGAGGGAGAGAGAGAGAAAGAGCGCGUAAUGUCUAUGAGCUUCUACUUUAUUUUCUCUCGCUUUCCAGAAUCAAUGGCGUCUCUCAAAGGCAAAACUCCCCCCCGUAUCCAUGAAUGAUGAAUUUUCAAUUCUUGCUAUUCAAGAAAACUAAGCUCACCGGUUCCCCAGCUGCUGGAAAAUCAAGAAUCUGCCAAAACCUCCAAAUAAAGAAACAAAAUCCCAGAUCUCUCCCACAAAAUGCAA